CCUACGGGUUGCAGCAGUGGGGAAUAUUGCACAAUGGGCGCAAGCCUGAUGCAGCCAUGCCGCGUGUAUGAAGAAGGCCUUCGGGUUGUAAAGUACUUUCAGCGGGGAGGAAGGCGAUAAGGUUAAUAACCUUGUCGAUUGACGUUACCCGCAGAAGAAGCACCGGCUAACUCCGUGCCAGCAGCCGCGGUAAUACGGAGGGUGCGAGCGUUAAUCGGAAUUACUGGGCGUAAAGCGCGCGCAGGCGGUCUGUCAAGUCGGAUGUGAAAUCCCCGGGCUCAACCUGGGAACUGCAUUCGAAACUGGCAGGCUAGAGUCUUGUAGAGGGGGGUAGAAUUACAGGUGUAGCGGUGAAAUGCGUAGAGAUCUGGAGGAAUACCGGUGGCGAAGGCGGCCCCCUGGACAAAGACUGACGCUCAGGUGCGAAAGCGUGGGGAGCAGACAGGAUUAGAUACCCUGGUAGUC
rnacentral:rRNA from 1 species